rnacentral:rRNA from 1 species
UACGUAGGGGGCUAGCGUUGUCCGGAUUUAUUGGGCGUAAAGAGCGUGUAGGCGGCCAUGUAGGUCCGGUGUGAAAACUCGAGGCUUAACCUCGAGAUGUCAUCGGAAACCAUUUGGCUAGAGUCCGGAAGAGGAGAGUGGAAUUCCUGGUGUAGCGGUGAAAUGCGCAGAUAUCAGGAAGAACACCAAUGGCGAAAGCAGCUCUCUGGGACGGUACUGACGCUGAGACGCGAAAGCAUGGGGAGCGAACAGGA